AUAACAUCCAUGACAACGAUUUCAAUACCAUGUGUAAUUCACAAACUCACAAGCAUAUCCCAAACCCUGGAACGAACAACUUCCAAUCCAUAAAAUCUAAUCAAGACAAUUCCUUCGAUUACAAUUUCUCUCCACUAAACUUACAACCUUGCAAUAAACAGUGACUGGAAACUUCCAUACGUCCUCAAUCUUUCACAACAAUUGAUAAACAGUGAUCCAUAAACAACUUUGAAAUCAAACAUUAAUUCAUUAAAUUGAUUCUCUUCACUAGAAUCAACACUAACACAAAAGAAACAACAAAACUAAGAAGAAGAGAUAGCACCAAGCUUAUCCCCGGCUCAGUACUAUUGCAGUCUGGUCCUCGGCUUACAACUCUUAUAAUUUGGCAUUUUCUUCCCCUCUCCCAUCCUCCUUAUACUAUCCCAAGAUACCAACUCCUAUACUAAAGAUGAUAAUUACUUUUCCUGACUAUUCAUCCAUUCUACCUGCUGAACCACCUUUUUAGUAGUUAUCUAUCCCUGUUUACACUAUACACUAGGUAUCUACAUUCUGAAAAUAACUACUUAUUCUACAUAGCCCCACUUCUACCUGUGCAGCAUCCUUGCAAACACUCAAUUGAUACCUAUUUAAAAAUUAUCUAACAAAACUCUACAAAAAUUACGAUCCCUUUGGCCUAUCUAAUUAAUCAAUUGCCACAAUAUUUGUUAUUGUUUCCAUUGAUUCUGGUUCCAACUGCAAAUCUUCGUCCUCCUCUAAU
rnacentral:lncRNA from 1 species